CAUAAAGUGGGCUGAUGCGCUGGAACGUCAAUGCAGCCAGUGAUGUGUUUGAUGAGAAUGUAUUGAGUAAAGCUGCCCAGAAUCCAAGUGUGUGUCAUCUGAACUCUUGAAUCAUGGAUGGAAGAUGGUGAACCGAAACUUACAGAGCUCAAGUCACUUGACCAGGCUCCACCCCUACAAGAGGCAGCAUGCAAACUAAAACCCAGGCGGCCUUUUCCAAAGCUUGUGCUCUGCUCCACUGCGGGAAGGAACCCUUCGGGGAACUGAAGCAGCACUGAACAAAGGCCAUUUUUAAGAAGCGACAGCAGAAACCUAAGGCGGGGUCCCCGGCUCAACAAGGAUCUCAUGUUUUGUGGGUCAGAGAUUCUUGUGUCGUGUCUGGGUGAGGUCAAAAACCAUGCAGAGACUUUCACUUCCUGUUCUGUGGCAGACAAGACAUCUGAAAAGCUCUCCUGCAGCAACACUUCUAGAUGCCAAGUAAAUCACAGCAAAUGCACUUUUAAAUGUGUUACUAAGAUCAUAAAAAUGAAGGAAAAUGCCCAAGCAUAUCCCCAACCCCUCACCCCACAACCACCACCACCACAAUAAACAAGUUGCUGACAGCG